CCACAAAAGUAGAAGGUAUUCUACAUAUUAAGCUUUUCUCAAAGAAGUCAAGAAAUCAAAAAUGAUUUGAUUGCACCUAAAAGAGCUGGUCAGAUGUAGAAUGGAACUGCUCAGUGUCCAUACAAAGGAAUGUCUUGCCAUCUCCAAUGAACAUGUAACUUCAGUUAUGAGCUGCAAUAGCACAUGAACCUUUAGAGUAAGUUUCUAGUAGAUUUACUGUAAUGACUGUGACCUUCAGAAUUAUGGCAACAGUUUCCCUGUGGGGAAGUGUCAGGUCAGUGCAAUUUGAUUUUCCAAAAGUAUGCAUCAACUGCCGCUGGAACAAAAGGAUCUUAUUUACUCCAUCUCAACUGCAGAUUUUUUAUUUUCCUAUUUUUUAGAUGAAAAUAUAAUAGCAAUUCCUUUAUUAUGUAACUUGAAUUAAGAAUAAUCACAAACAUUUAUGGAAUGUUGUAUAAAUCGACCACAUGCUGCAUAGUUGAAAAACUAGUUCUGCACUCAAUUUAGCUAGAGCCUUCUUGUCUUCCUAAACCACUGCUUCAAGAAAGGUUAUUGAGAGGGUAUUCAGUCAACAAUAGUUCUGUCUCUGGGAAUGCUGUAAUGAUUUUGCUCAUCCAUUACCCAGAGCAAGGAUUAGCCUGAACUUCUAUGUUGUUUUUUUUUUUUUAAAGACUUAUCAGACAUCAAUAGCAGAGGAAACAAAAUGAAAUCCACAGUCUGAUUUACCCUGUAUGAAACUGUCACACAUUCAUUAAAGGACAACCUGACCUGAAGCUGACCUUGACAUUUAUAAACUCAGCUGAACUCAUGAGGUAAGAGAGGAAAGUUAAAUCUCCGCUGAUCAUGUAUCAAGAGGAAAACAGAGCACGUUCUCAGACUACAUAUGGCAAUACUGACAGCAGGACACAAGUUAAAAAUGCCUUUUACCAUUUGGAAUAUGAUAUGAAAGGCUAUGUUUUCCAAACCAGUUAUAUUUUACAUAUAAGGUACUCUAGAAUACAUAAAGGACUUGUUACAUUUUACAUAAGUAUUACCUUGCAUCUUGUUCUGUAUAAACUAACUUAGUAUGUUUCUGAUUAGUGAAAGUGGUCAUAAACACAUUCUGGCAUUUAAGGUUCUUCUGGCUUGUGUAAUACAGAACAUCAUUUGCAGCCCAUU